rnacentral:tRNA from 1 species
GCGCCCGUAGCUCAGAUGGAUAGAGCGUUAGACUCCGGAUCUAAAGGUCGCUGGUUCGAAUCCAGUCGGGCGUACCA